rnacentral:rRNA from 1 species
CAGAUUGAACGCUGGCGGCAGGCCUAACACAUGCAAGUCGAGCGGUAGAGAGAAGCUUGCUUCUCUUGAGAGCGGCGGACGGGUGAGUAAUACCUAGGAAUCUGCCUGAUAGUGGGGGAUAACGUUCGGAAACGGACGCUAAUACCGCAUACGUCCUACGGGAGAAAGCAGGGGACCUUCGGGCCUUGCGCUAUAAGAUGAGCCUAGGUCGGAUUAGCUAGUUGGUGAGGUAAUGGCUCACCAAGGCUACGAUCCGUAACUGGUCUGAGAGGAUGAUCAGUCACACUGGAACUGAGACACGGUCCAGACUCCUACGGGAGGCAGCAGUGGGGAAUAUUGGACAAUGGGCGAAAGCCUGAUCCAGCCAUGCCGCGUGUGUGAAGAAGGUCUUCGGAUUGUAAAGCACUUUAAGUUGGGAGGAAGGGCAUUAACCUAAUACGUUAGUGUCUUGACGUUACCGACAGAAUAAGCACCGGCUAACUCUGUG